rnacentral:rRNA from 1 species
UACGAAGGGGGCUAGCGUUGCUCGGAAUCACUGGGCGUAAAGCGCACGUAGGCGGACUCUUAAGUCGGGUGUGAAAUCUCCACGCUCAACGUCGGAGGGCCACUCGAUACUGCCAUGACUCGAGUCCGGUAGAGGAGUGUGGGAAUUCCCGGUGUAGCGGUGAAAUGCGGCAGAUAUCGGGAGGAACGCCCGUAGCGGAAGGCGGACACUCGUGGGCCGGAACUGGACGCUGAGGAGCGAAAGCGUGGGGAGCAAACAGG